UACAGAGGGUGCAAGCGUUAAUCGGAUUUACUGGGCGUAAAGGGCGCGUAGGUGGUAAGGCAAGUAAGAUGUGAAAGCCCUGGGCUUAACCUGGGAAGUGCAUCUUAAACUGCCUAACUAGAGUAUGGUAGAGGUUAGUGGAAUUUCCGGUGUAGCGGUGAAAUGCGUAGAGAUCGGAAGGAACGCCAGUGGUGAAGACGACUACCUGGACCAAUACUGACACUGAGGCGCGAAAGCGUGGGGAUCAAACAGG
rnacentral:rRNA from 1 species